UUUUGUAACAAACUCACAUGCUCUCCCUCAAAACUCACAUUCUCAUACACACUCUUGGCCACCAAUUAAUCCCUAUACCUACACUUAUAUAUCUUCCACUCUAACACACUCACAAACACACACAAACAGACUAAAAAGAGGCUAAAAACAGACCUGGGGGAGCUAAGAAUAAAAGGAAUCGUCUUCAUCUUCUUGUUUGAGAAAGGUAGCAUUUCCCUUAAAUACCUUCACAAAUAAAAGGUAGCAUUUCCCCAUUGAAACUAGCUAGCUUCACCCCCGUCAAACACCAUUUUAAUCACCUUAAAUACCUUCAAAACCAGCCCCCAAUGCACCUUCUCUGGCUCCAAAGUACCAUUUAAAGAUCCCCCUAAAGGGAUCUCAAAUUCACCCAAAAUGCAACAGUAAAACGACCACAAAACCAACCCCAAAACCACUCCUUCUUUGAUCGAAAAUUGCUGGUUAACAAUCCCAUGUUUCAGUCACGUAAAACCAGCCUUAUACCAUCACAAAAAUUCCCCAACCCAGUGCGAAAAUCAGCUUGAAACCAUCCAAACCCAGUCGAGAUGAGUCCAUUUGGCGACGUCGAUUUCGGUCCAGGGUCCUAGUCCGUAGCUCGUUUGAGGAUUACUGUUCUAGAGUUUCUAUUUUCAUUGUAUCUGCUCCAAAAUUUCAGCAAUAGAAGGCCGUGACGCUUCAUUGGGAAACGUUUUCUAAAUCCCGGGAAGAGCUGAGCCGGUGUGAGGCCGAUCUCAAAAGGCUUACGGAGGAAAGAGAUGCUCUAAAACUUCUCAUUGGGCAAAAAGAAGAGGAGAUCAAGGACCUCCGAGCCGAAUUGACAACAACUCAUAAAGGACAAACCGACCUGAUUUAGCAAGUGAUGUUCAGCAGAAGGCCGAAAAGAUUGAGCAACUUCACGAGGAGGCCAAGAUGAAGGAGGCGGAGACUUUGGGGUGGAAACAAAAUAUGGAUCGCCUUGCCUCGGAAAAAGAGGCCGCUCGAGCACAACUGUUAUCGGCUGAACGUCAACUCCAAAGCAUGAAAGAGGAGAACUUGGCCCGAACCAAGAGAGUUGAGGAGCUCGAGGCUCGAUUGGCCGCCGAACUUGCGAAGGCUACAUCUGAGGCAGAAAAAGUAAAGGCUGAUGCGGAGGCGGUCAUGGCCGUCUAAUGAGCCGGUGUUGAAGCUGCUCAUGUCACACCUCCUUUUUCCCGAGGGAUAGGGAGUUUUUUCAAUUAAAGUGACA